GGUUUGUGGCUCAGUGGUAGAACGCUUGCCUAGCAUGCGUGAGGCACUGGGUUCAAUCCCCAGGACCA
rnacentral:tRNA from 1 species